UGGGUCCUAUUUUGAAUAGGACGACACUAAUAGAUGGUACAUUUGAAACAGCAGGAAAUAUUUCUUGAAGUACCACAAAGACCUUCAUUCCUUGGAAUUCCCAGCUGCAAGAUGGUCAGAGGCUGAAUCCCACAGCUGGAUUUAAAGAGGGCUGUGCAGGUGUGAGCGGCCUAAAAGGCCAUCAUUAAAUGAGUGUAAUUAGAUCUCAUGCUUCAGGACAUUCCUCAAGGGCCAAAAAGGAUCUUCAGCUCCUUCCCACCACUUCACCUACUACAACACUGCACAACUGUUUAGAGGCACUAUAGGGAGGCGUGGAGCUUUCCUUUGAAACACCAAAUAUUGGCCACGGCUGGAGGCAGGGUACUGGGCUUGACAGGGACCAAUGGUUUGAUCUUGUUUGGCCAAUUCUAUGUUCCUAAAGGUAUUGCUGACAGCCUGAAGGUUUACCUACCCAAAAGACACAAACAAGAGGAGAGAGGUCUCCUUACCUUUGUGUGUCAGAAAUGCACCACCAAGCCCAGGCCCAGCCUCCGAACACAUACUGCUUUAGAUCAGAGCCACAGCAGCCACCUGCAGCACAAGCAGAAAGCACAAGUAUGUUAUAGUUACACACACAGAGCCACCUCCCCCAGGCAAGUUAAAAAUAAAAACUUGCUUCCAAAUAGCUCUCCACUCAAUGACGAGUCACAAUAGCGACCCGCAAGAUUGCAGAAAAUGCAUGCUCAAUUCCUGGGAAAGCAAAGGCAGAGAGCAGCUCUCUCACAAACAGCAGCCUUCUGUAAUACUGGCCUUUCUGCCCCCAGAGGCUGAAGAACAGGCUGAGUGAAUUAAUUCUGCUAGUUCCCCCCAGUCUUUCUGAAACCACAGGGAUGUUGAUGUAACGACACAACAUGCGACUGCUGCACUGGAAGAGGUGAGCUAAACGCGUGCUACUCCACAGGACACGAAGAACAUCUUUCCUGAAGCCCCCUUAUAUGUUGCUUUCCUCACCACUGACGUUGUUGUUCAUUCAGUGCUGACCCAACUACACUAUUUGCAAGAGUUAGACCAGGGGUGGGCAAAAUAGGGCCCGGGGGCCACAUCUGGCCCUUCAGACGUUUUAAUCUGGCCCUCGAGCUCCCACCAGGGAGCAGAGUCCAGGGCGUGCCCUGCUCCGGUGCUCCAGCUGGGGAGCAGGGUCAGGGGUUGGCCCCACUCCACGCAGCUCCGGGAAGCAGCAGCAUGACCCGCCCCCCCCCACGCAGCUCCCAUUGGCUGAGAACCACAGCCAAUGGGAGCUGCAGGGGCGGCACCUGAGGAUGGGACAAUGUGCAGAGCCGCCUGGACAUGCCUCUGUACAGGAGCUGGAAAGGGGAGACGCUGCUGCUUCCAGGAGCUGCUUGAGACAGUGUUAUCUCAAAAGCACCUUAUGCUUCAGACUUCUAAAGCAACACAGUUGAAAAAAACAAGCUGAAAAGUUGAGUUCUUGCAGGGGGAAUCCCCCAAGCUGUGGACAAUACCUGCUGCUUUUGGCUCGGGAUUAUUAGGACAUCCCACGCUCUGAAGGUAAAACACAGACUCAAUUGCUUGCAAGUUGUUUAACUUUGUGUUUUUUCCAGUAACUCUUUUUGCCAUGCUCAGGUUCAAGACCUGAAACCAGUGAGAUUAAGGGCCAGUAGCUUAGAUGUUUGUUUCGAUCACUACUUGUAUGUGCAUUAUUCUCCCACCGCCAAGACAACAGCUCCCUGCCAACUUGCAUGGCAGCUAGAAGACGAUUCCUCCGAAUCAGGGGGAAAGCUUAGGCCUGGUCUGCACUUAAACAUCAGAUCAACCCUAGUUAUGUCACUUGGGGCUGUGAAACACCGUGUAUUCUGAGUGCCGCAGUUAGAUUCAUCUAACCACCCAUGAAGAGGCGGCUAGGUUGAUGAAAGAAUUCGUCUGUCGACCUAGCUACUGGGGCUGCGAGAGACGGAUUAGAAAAACCCCUUCUGUGGAAGUAGGGAGUGUCCAAGCUGUGCCGCUGUAGCGAAGACAAGCCCUCAGAGAAGCUGAUUGGUGUGACAGCUCCUAAAACAGAUUCAAACACAACGUUCUGGAUAGAUUCUGCUUCCCAGACCACACUUAUCACUGAACAGACAUGGCAGCAUGUGUCCCUUCAAACAGAUGUUACUUUCUUUCAUACACAAUGUAAGAAAAUAUCUUACUUCGAAUCUUCUCCAAACUGAGCAGCAGCACCCUUACUAAUUCUCACCAGAAAGCACAGAAAGUUACAUCUGUGCACACCAGAUUUGGUGCCAUGUAGUGCUGUUUAGUAAAAUCAUUUUUAAUAGUGUCCAAAGCAGAAAGAAAAUACGGAAAGUUAUAAUAAAGUUCUUCUAGAAAGAUUCAAUCUGAAUUUACUAAUGGGAGUGAAUUGCCAAAUAGGUUCUUUAAUACAAGUUGUACAUCCGGGCACAGUAGAAUAUUCUGGUGGUAAAAGAAUGAGCUGCAUGAACUAAUUGCUUUAAACACUAAUUUCCUAUUUACAAUCUUGCCAUCUGCUUCCCAGGUCCCAAAGAUCAAGUGAAAAAACAGAAACAAAUCACCAAUGUGAAAAACUUUGCAAAUCUGGAAAACAAACCCCAGCACAAUGAGAUUUGGCAGAGAAACCUCCUAUUUCAGCUAGCACAUCCCCUCUUCUCUUCAAGUCUGGGUCUCACAGCUACUUGGCUACAAUUUACAGACAUCCACCGUGCCUUUUCCAGCACAAUAGAAUACAGCCAGCUAUAUUACCACAGGAGGACUCAUGCCAGACAGCAGUAUUCUGGCUUGGAGCCUGCAGAGGGAAGUGAUCCUGCAUUAAAGUCAGAAGUGUUCCCAGAAACAACAAAACUAGACGGCCUGUUUCUUAUGAGAUUAGAUGAACCAAAUUAGGAUUUAUGAUUAGUUCCAGGUCUACAUACAGAAAAUGCCUCCAGCAGAUCCAAAAAAGCCCUUUGCGCUGCUGCUCUAAGCCCUGGUCUACACGACGAGUUGAGGUCGAAUUUAGCAGCGUUAGAUCAAUUUAACCCUGCACCCGUCCACACGGUUAAGCCAUUUUUUCCAACUUAAAGGGCUCUUAAAAUCAAC